CCUACGGGCGGCAGCAGUGGGGAAUAUUGGACAAUGGGGGCAACCCUGAUCCAGCCAUGCCGCGUGUGUGAAGAAGGCCCUCGGGUUGUAAAGCACUUUCAGUGAGGAAGAACGCCUGGUGGUUAAUACCCAUCAGGAAAGACAUCACUCACAGAAGAAGCACCGGCUAACUCCGUGCCAGCAGCCGCGGUAAUACGGAGGGUGCGAGCGUUAAUCGGAAUUACUGGGCGUAAAGCGCGCGUAGGUGGCUUGAUAAGCCGGUUGUGAAAGCCCCGGGCUCAACCUGGAAACGGCAUCCGGAACUGUCAAGCUAGAGUGCAGGAGAGGAAGGUAGAAUUCCCGGUGUAGCGGUGAAAUGCGUAGAGAUCGGGAGGAAUACCAGUGGCGAAGGCGGCCUUCUGGACUGACACUGACACUGAGGUGCGAAAGCGUGGGUAGCAAACAGGAUUAGAUACCCUAGUAGUC
rnacentral:rRNA from 1 species